CCGCCACCGUUCGGCCUCCUGGGCGGCCGGGCGCCGCCAGGGCCCAAGAUUCAAGGUCCCUCUGGGGCAUGGAGCCCCCGGUGCACCCGAUUCCUCCAAAAAGGACAAGACACUCCCUGCAGGAGUGCCCCCCGCUGAGGAAGAGCCCCCUCGGGCACCUCUCGGCCUCCGUACCUGACCAGAGCUGCCUCCCCCGGCCGCCACCACGGCGCUGCCGGCCCCGUCCGCCUCCUGCGCCGCCGCCAUCUUCCUGCUCCGGGUCCCCGCCCCCGCCGCCAGCCCCGCCCCGUCCCCGACGGCGCCAGGGCGAUCGCGCGAGAUUUCACACUUGGCCCGGCCCACCAGGCUUCCGUAGCAGAAGGGAGCGCCCCUAAGCCACGCCCUUUACAAGAACCGACUCGGCCGCGGUAAAGGGAAAGGUCUUGAAAUGAAGCCCUGACUGUGGCAGACAUAGAACUUGCGGCAUCUUCCGGCCUCAUCCUCAGGAGUGCUAUCUAUUCUAGGAUAGUGCUAUCCUGUCCUCUAUCCUAGGAGGAUGCUUAUGUCCCAGCACAUUAAACAAAUGAGAAACCAGAUCUUUUGGAUCCAGACUCCAUCUUAGAGAACCUGACCUAAGGUUGAACUCAAGUAAACUAACAGGCCAGUACCUAGCAUCAGUUUCUAGGCUACACCGAAACAAGAGUUUGAAUAAAAGUGUGAUUGCUUUGAA